GACCACUCUGUUGGGACACUACAGUCUGCUGAGACAUAUAGAAGAAGACCACUCUGUUAGGACACUCCACAGUCUGCUGAGACAUAUAGAAGAAGACCACUCUGUUGGGACACUCCACAGUCUGCUGAGACAUAUAGAAGAAGACCACUCUGUUGGGACACUCCACAGUCUGCUGAGACAUAUAGAACCACUCUGUUGGGACACUCCACAGUCUGCUGAGACAUUUAGAAGAAGACCACUCUGCUGGGACACUACAGUCUGCUGAGACAUUUAGAAGAAGACCACUCUGUUGGGACACUCCACAGUCUGCUGAGACAUAUAGAACCACUCUGCUGGGACACUCCACAGUCUGCUGAGACAUUUAGAAGAAGACCACUCUGUUGGGACACUCCACAGUCUGCUGAGACAUAUAGAAGAAGACCACUCUGUUGGGACACUCCACAGUCCGCUGAGACAUAUAGAAGAAGACCACUCUGUUGGGACACUCCACAGUCUGCUGAGACAUAUAGAUCCACUCUGUUAGGACACUCCACAGUCUGCUGAGACAUAUAGAAGAAGACCACUCUGUUGGGACACUACACAGUCUGCUGAGACAUUUAGAAGAAGACCACUCUGUUGGGACACUCCACAGUCUGCUGAGACAUAUAGAACCACUCUGUUGGGGCACUCCACAGUCUGCUGAGACAUAUAGAAGAAGAACACUCUGUUGGGACACUCCACAGUCUGCUGAGACAUAUAGAAGAAGACCACUCUGUUAGGACACUCCACAGUCUGCUGAGACAUAUAGAAGAAGACCACUCUGUUGGGACACUCCACAGUCUGCUGAGACAUAUAGAAGAAGACCACUCUGUUGGGACACUACAGUCUGCUGAGACAUAUAGAAGAAGACCACUCUGCUGGGACACUACAGUCUGCUGAGACAUAUAGAAGAAGACCACUCUGUUAGGACACUCCACAGUCUGCUGAGACAUAUAGAAGAAGACCACUCUGCUGGGACACUCCACAGUCUGCUGAGACAUAUAGAAGAAGACCACUCUGCUGGGACACUCCACAGUCUGCUGAGACAUAUAGAAGAAGACCACUCUGCUGGGACACUCCACAGUCUGCUGAGACAUUUAGAAGAAGACCACUCUGUUGGGACACUCCACAGUCUGCUGAGACAUAUAGAAGAAGACCACUCUGUUAGGACACUCCACAGUCUGCUGAGACAUAUAGAAGAAGACCACUCUACUGGGACACUCCACAGUCUGCUGAGACAUAUAGAACCACUCUGUUGGGACACUCCACAGUCUGCUGAGACAUAUAGAAGAAGACCACUCUGUUAGGACACUCCACAGUCUGCUGAGACAUAUAGAAGAAGACCACUCUGUUAGGACACUCCACAGUCUGCUGAGACAUAUAGAAGAAGACCACUCUGUUAGGACACUCCACAGUCUGCUGAGACAUAUAGAACCACUCUGUUGGGACACUCCA
rnacentral:lncRNA from 1 species